AUAAAUAGAAAUGCAGAAGAAUUAAUAUCUAAGGAGGAGAAAAAAAGCAGGUAAGAGAAAAGAAAAGCAAAGAAAAAGAGGAGGAGAGAGAAAAAGAAAUUAGAAAAAUAGAAAAAACAGACAAAGGUUGAAGCAAAUGGAGAGACAAAAACUAAAGAUACAAUUAAUACAGAUUUACAAAGUGGCAAUAAAUUGAAACGGGAUAAAAA